UAGCAUGGAAUAAUGGAAUAGGACGUGUGGUUCUAUUUUGUUGGUUUCUAGGACCGCCGUAAUGAUUAAUAGGGACAGUCGGGGGCAUCAGUAUUCAAUUGUCAGAGGUGAAAUUCUUGGAUUUAUUGAAGACUAACUACUGCGAAAGCAUUUGCCAAGGAUGUUUUCAUUAAUCAGGAACGAAAGUUAGGGGAUCGAAGACGAUCAGAUACCGUCGUAGUCUUAACCAUAAACUAUGCCGACUAGGGAUCGGACGAUGUUAUUUUUUGACGCGUUCGGCACCUUACGAGAAAUCAAAGUGCUUGGGCUCCAGGGGGAGUAUGGUCGCAAGGCUGAAGCUUAAAGAAAUUGACGGAAGGGCACCACCAGGGGUGGAGCCUGCGGCUUAAUUUGACUCAACACGGGGAAACUCACCAGGUCCAGACACAAUGAGGAUUGACAGAUUGAGAGCUCUUUCUUGAUUUUGUGGGUGGUGGUGCAUGGCCGUUCUUAGUUGGUGGAGUGAUUUGUCUGCUUAAUUGCGAUAACGAACGAGACCUUAACCUGCUAAAUAGCCCGUAUUGCUUUGGCAGUACGCCGGCUUCUUAGAGGGACUAUCGGCUCAAGCCGAUGGAAGUUUGAGGCAAUAACAGGUCUGUGAUGCCCUUAGAUGUUCUGGGCCGCACGCGCGCUACACUGACGGAGCCAGCGAGUACUUCCUUGGCCGAAAGGCCCGGGUAA
rnacentral:rRNA from 1 species